GAUGAACGCUGGCGGCGUGCUUAACACAUGCAAGUCGACGGGAAACGAUUUUAUUUGAAGCUUCGGCAGAUUUAGUUUGUUUCCAGUGGCGGACGGGUGAGUAACGCGUGGGUAACCUGCCUCACACUGGGGGAUAACAGUCAGAAAUGACUGCUAAUACCGCAUAAGCGCACGGAACCGCAUGGUUUUGUGUGAAAAACUCCGGUGGUGUGAGAUGGACCCGCGUUGGAUUAGCCGAGUUGGCAGGGUAACGGCCUACCAAAGCGACGAUCCACAGCCGACCUGAGAGGGUGAUCGGCCACA
rnacentral:rRNA from 1 species